GUUUGUUCAUUUACAGUUAAUCCAAUAUUGAAGCAGGGUAGGCACUAAUACUAUAAUGAAAGACACUGAUAUUUGAGGGAAUUUUCUAUGUAUUUUCUUGAUGAUAAAAAUGAAAUACAAGGCUCCUACUUAUAUAUAAAUAAUUAGACCUAAACAGGAAAUUAAAAAAUAGGAAGCUAAUUACAAUAAGAAAAUACAAUUGAUGCCUAAUAAUCUAUAUUCCUAAAAUCAAGGGAUUACAACACCUGUUCAGUAAAUAAUGAAGUAGCAUCAAAUCUAUUUGCUACUUUUUUGGGUUGGCAGGAGGCUGGCAGUGGGUCAUUUCAUCAAUUGUAUAUCUGCCCUCGGAGCAUGGAUGGGGUGUGAUUGGGAUGGGUCUUGCCUUAGGUUAAUACUCUAUGGAGCAAAAGAAAAAUAAUAUUCGCGUUUUCUAAGUCUAAUAUAAUGGUACUCCGGUCAUAGAUUGUAGAAAUUUUGAGGGAAUUUAAUACUAUAAUGAAAGACACUGAUAUUUGAGGGAAUUUUCUAUGUAUUUUCUUGAUGAUAAAAAUGAAAUACAAGGCUCCUACUUAUAUAUAAAUAAUUAGACCUAAACAGGAAAUUAAAAAAUAGGAAGCUAAUUACAAUAAGAAAAUACAAUUGAUGCCUAAUAAUCUAUAUUCCUAAAAUCAAGGGAUUACAACACCUGUUCAGUAAAUAAUGAAGUAGCAUCAAAUCUAUUUGCUACUUUUUUGGGUUGGCAGGAGGCUGGCAGUGGGUCAUUUCAUCAAUUGUAUAUCUGCCCUCGGAGCAUGGAUGGGGUGUGAUUGGGAUGGGUCUUGCCUUAGGUUAAUACUCUAUGGAGCAAAAGAAAAAUAAUAUUCGCGUUUUCUAAGUCUAAUAUAAUGGUACUCCGGUCAUAGAUUGUAGAAAUUUUG
rnacentral:misc_RNA from 1 species